rnacentral:rRNA from 1 species
UACAGAGGGUGCGAGCGUUGUCCGGAAUCACUGGGCGUAAAGGGCGCGUAGGCGGCCUGAUAAGUAGGGGGUGAAAUCCUGCGGCUUAACCGCAGGGCUGCCUUCUAAACUGUCAGGCUCGAGCACAGUAGAGGCAGGUGGAAUUCCCGGUGUAGCGGUGGAAUGCGUAGAGAUCGGGAAGAACAUCGGUGGCGAAAGCGCUCUACUGGACCGCAACUGACACUCAGGGACGAAAGCUAGGGGAGCGAAUGGG